ACUCAAAUGAAUUGACGGGGGCCCGCACAAGCAGUGGAGCAUGUGGUUUAAUUCGAUGCAACGCGAAGAACCUUACCCAGGCUCGAAAUGUAACGGACGAUACCAGAGAUGGUAUUUCCCGCAAGGGCUGUUAUAUAGGUGCUGCAUGGCUGUCGUCAGCUCGUGCCGUGAGGUGUUUGGUUAAGUCCAGCAACGAGCGCAACCCUUAUCAUUAGUUGCCAACACGUAAGGUGGGGACUCUAGUGAGACUGCCUAGGUUAACUAGGAGGAAGGUGAGGAUGACGUCAAGUCCGCAUGGCCUUUAUGUCUGGGGCUACACACGUGCUACAAUGGUCGGUACAGAAGGCAGCAAGACCGCAAGGUGGAGCAAAUCCGUAAAGCCGAUCACAGUUCAGAUUGUAGUCUGCAACUCGACUACAUGAAGUUGGAAUUGCUAGUAAUGACGUGUCAGCAACAACGUCGUGAAUACGUUCCCGGGCCUUGCACACACCGCCCGU
rnacentral:rRNA from 1 species